UAGCAAUGGCCCAGGAUGCAAUGGAUGAAUUUAGCAUUUUCCUUAUCUGAUCAAGCUCUAAGCACUCCACAGCAUGGGUUUCAGCUGCAUUCGUGCCCAUGGAAACAAAUUGUUUUCAUCCAUUCAUUCCACCAGAGGAGGUCUUCACAUGCUUGGGAUAGACAUCUCACUAACUCACUGACAGGGGACACAUGAUAAUCUUUGUAGAAUUGAAUUGAAAUAACAAUGCAAGACAGCACAUAGUUAUUUCACUGUCAUCUAUGAAAUUCUGGUUUUGCAAAGGAAGUUCAUCAACAAACAAAGAUGUUGAACAAAGAAACAUGAAGAGAAGGGAGAUGAAAGUAGUAAAGGAUGAUAUUUUAAAUGUUUGAAGGCCCUGCAAGAAAAAUGUCAAGUUUAAUCCCAGUAUGAGAUGAGGAUUGUAUGAAAUGCAUUUGCAAGAGAGUAUUCUCCAUCCCUGCUGCAUGUCAAGUCUCCUGGAGUUAGGGGUUAAUCAAAAUAAUGUUGGUGAGAGAACUUAACUUUCUAGAGCACCAGAGCCCUCUUCUGAAGUUGGCUGCACAUGAGAGUGGAAAAUAACAUGAAUUAAUA